rnacentral:rRNA from 1 species
AUACGACUGUCGGCAACGGAUAUCUAGGCUCUCGCAUCGAUGAAGAACGUAGCAAAAUGCGAUACUUGGUGUGAAUUGCAGAAUCCCGUGAAUCAUCGAGUUUUUGAACGCAAGUUGCGCCCAAAGCCACU